GACGAACGUUGGCGGCGUGCUUAAUACAUGCAAGUCAACUGAAGCAGUGGUAGCAAUAUCGCUGUGGAGGUGGCGCACGGGUGAGUAACACGUAGGUAAUCUGCCUUCAGGUCUGGCAUAACUCCGGGAAACCGGGGCUAAUAGCAGAUGAUGCAGCGGCUCGACAUCGAGACAGUUGUUAGAGCUAUGGCGCCUGAAGAUGAGCCUGCGUCUGAUUAGCUAGUUGGCGGGGUAACGGCCCACCAAGGCAACGAUCAGUAGCUGGUCUGAGAGGAUGAUCAGCCACACUGGAACUGAGACACGGUCCAGACUCCUACGGGAGGCAGCAGUAAGGAAUAUUGCUCAAUGGGAGAAAUCCUGAAGCAGCAACGCCGCGUGAGGGACGAAGGGCUUUUGCUUGUAAACCUCUGUAGUGAGAGAAAAAAAUCCCAAUCUUUGGGACAUGAUGGUAUCUCAAAAGUAAGCCCCGGCUAACUACGUG
rnacentral:rRNA from 1 species